rnacentral:rRNA from 1 species
UACCAGCACCCCGAGUGGUCGGGACGAUUAUUGGGCCUAAAGCAUCCGUAGCCGGUUUUACAAGUCCUCCGUUAAAUCCAGCUGCUUAACAGAUGGGCUGCGGAGGAUACUAUAAGACUAGGAGGCAGGAGAGGCAAGCGGUACUCAGUGGGUAGGGGUAAAAUCCGUUGAUCCAUUGAAGACCACCAGUGGCGAAGGCGGCUUGCCAGAAUGCGCUCGACGGUGAGGGAUGAAAGCUGGGGAGC